UACGUAGGGUGCGAGCGUUGUCCGGAAUUAUUGGGCGUAAAGAGCUCGUAGGCGGUUUGUUGCGUCGGCCGUGAAAACCUGCAGCUUAACUGUGGGCCUGCGGCCGAUACGGGCAGACUUGAGUUCGGUAGGGGAGACUGGAAUUCCUGGUGUAGCGGUGAAAUGCGCAGAUAUCAGGAGGAACACCGGUGGCGAAGGCGGUGAUCUGGGCCGGCACUGACGCUGAGGAGCGAAAGCGUGGGUAGCAAACAGG
rnacentral:rRNA from 1 species